AGACCGUGAAACCGCUCAGAGUAUAAGCCAAUGGAGCUUGGAAGGCUUCCGCAGACCCGGGCAUCAUACGUGGUGUUCGACAGACCAGGGCGAUGGUUCGUCAGGAGCAGCAUUGAGUUUUCCGAGCAUCCCCCGUGCGGGGAGGUCGUCUCGGGGUCCGACGCUUCGGCUGAGGAUUGCCCCGGGACGUCUCCUUAAGAAUGGACGUUCAUAGCUUCUGGUCUAAUGCGGUAUUUGCCCACCACGGCACGUUGUGAGGUCACCCACAGGCUCAAACUGCCGAGCGUGAAUCCAGGACGAUGGCAACGAUGCGUUUGUUCUGCUCGGACACACCCGAGUUAUCACGCGUGUCUAGUCCUGGGUCAGGCGGCGACCGAGAUAAACCUGGUAUGAUCCUCUUGCGACGAGCUGCUUUCUGGCCAGUCCGACGCCCAGGCGCUUCCACUGUGCCGGAAGUGUCAACCCCAGGCGGUCUGUUCCCUGCUG
rnacentral:rRNA from 1 species